UACGGAGGGGGCUAGCGUUGUUCGGAAUUACUGGGCGUAAAGCGCACGUAGGCGGCUUUGUAAGUUAGAGGUGAAAGCCCAGGGCUUAACCCUGGAAUUGCCUUUAAGACUGCAUCGCUAGAAUCGUGGAGAGGUGAGUGGAAUUCCGAGUGUAGAGGUGAAAUUCGUAGAUAUUCGGAAGAACACCAGUGGCGAAGGCGACUCACUGGACAGGUAUUGACGCUGAGGUGCGAAAGCGUGGGGAGCAAACAGG
rnacentral:rRNA from 1 species